rnacentral:rRNA from 1 species
UGGGGAAUAUUGCACAAUGGGCGCAAGCCUGAUGCAGCGACGCCGCGUGAGGGAUGACGGCCUUCGGGUUGUAAACCUCUUUCGCCAGGGACGAAGCGCAAGUGACGGUACCUGGAGAAGAAGCACCGGCCAACUACGUGCCAGCAGCCGCGGUAAUACGUAGGGUGCGAGCGUUGUCCGGAAUUACUGGGCGUAAAGAGCUCGUAGGUGGUUUGUCGCGUCGGCCGUGAAAACUUGGGGCUUAACUCCAAGCUUGCGGGCGAUACGGGCAGACGUGAGUACUGCAGGGGAGACUGGAAUUCCUGGUGUAGCGGUGAAAUGCGCAGAUAUCAGGAGGAACACCGGUGGCGAAGGCGGGUCUCUGGGCAGUAACUGACGCUGAGGAGCGAAAGCGUGGGUAGCGAACA